GAAAAUCUGCGUUGGGUAGAUUCAUCAGCCUGGGUGUGUUGCGUCUGGUAAAGUAUCUGUGCGGACGGGUUGUGUGCAAGGGAAUGACUAUACGCGCACGAGCAAUGAUUCUUGUAACAACCAAGCACGUUAGAAACUGACACCUGCAAAAUAGAAGACAAGUUAUUAUGAUUAUGCAUGAAUGCAAUGUCUAUCCAUAUGAGGAACACUCUG
rnacentral:lncRNA from 1 species